rnacentral:rRNA from 1 species
UACGUAGGGUGCAAGCGUUGUCCGGAAUUAUUGGGCGUAAAGAGCUCGUAGGCGGUCUGUCGCGUCUGCUGUGAAAUCCCGGGGCUCAACUCCGGGCUUGCAGUGGAUACGGGCAGACUAGAGUUCGGUAGGGGAGACGUGGAAUUCCUGGUGUAGCGGUGAAAUGCGCAGAUAUCAGGAGGAACACCGGUGGCGAAGGCGGGUCUCUGGGCCGAUACUGACGCUGAGGAGCGAAAGCGUGGGGAGCGAACAGG